rnacentral:rRNA from 1 species
GAUGAACGCUGGCGGCGUGCCUAAUACAUGCAAGUCGAGCGAACAGAUGAGGAGCUUGCGCCUCUGACGUUAGCGGCGGACGUGUGAGUAACACGUUGCUAACCUACCUAUAAGACUGGGAUCAUUUCGGGAAACCGGAUCUAAUACCGGGUAAUAUAUAGAACCGUAUGUGUCAAUAUAGAAAGACGUCUUUUCUGUUACUUAUAGUUGGAUCCUAGCCGCAUUAGCUAGUUGGUAAGGUAACGCCUUACCAAGGCGAUGAUGAGUAGCCGACCUGAGGGGGUGAUCGGCCACUCUGGAACUGAGACGCGGUCCAGACUCCUAAGGGAGGCAGCAGUAGGGAAUCUUCCGGAAUGGGCGAAGGCCUGACGGAGCAAAGCCGCGUGAGUGAUGAAGAUCUUCGGAUCGUAAAACUCUGUUAUUAAGGAGGAACAAAUGUGUAAGUAACUAUGCACGUCUUGACGGUACCUAAUCAGAAAGCCACGGCUAACUACGUG